rnacentral:rRNA from 1 species
AGCGAACGCUGGCGGCAGGCCUAACACAUGCAAGUCGAACGGAUCCUUCGGGAUUAGUGGCGGACGAGUGAGUAACACGUGGGAACGUGCCCUUUGGUUCGGAACAACUCAGGGAAACUUGAGCUAAUACCGGAUGUGCCCUUCGGGGGAAAGAUUUAUCGCCAUUGGAGCGGCCCGCGUCUGAUUAGCUAGUUGGUGAGGUAACGGCCCACCAAGGCGACGAUCAGUAGCUGGUCUGAGAGGAUGAUCAGCCACACUGGGACUGAGACAUGGCCCAGACUCCUACGGGAGGCAGCAGUGGGGAAUCUUGCGCAAUGGGCGAAAGCCUGACGCAGCCAUGCCGCGUGAAUGAUGAAGGUCUUAGGAUUGUAAAAUUCUUUCAGCGGGGACGAUAAUGACGGUACCCGCAGAAGAAGCUCCGGCUAACUUCGUG